AAUACCGGCGAGAAAUCGUCGAAAAUACUGCAUAGGCUCGGCAACGAGCAAAGCUUCUCGCACGACGAGAGGCGCCAGAGGAGGGGCCUGCGCCCGAUUAGCUAGUUGGUGAGGUAAUGGCUCACCAAGGCGACGAUCGGUAGCUGGUCUGAGAGGAUGAGCAGCCACACUGGGAUUGAGAACGGCCCAGACUCCUACGGGAGGCAGCAGUGAGGAAUUUUCCGCAAUGGACGCAAGUCUGACGGAGCAACGCCGCGUGCAGGAAGAAGGUCUUCGGAUUGUAAACUGCUUUUCCCAGGGAAGAGUAAGGACGGUACCUGGGGAAUCAGCCCCGGCUAACUACGUGCCAGCAGCCGCGGUAAGACGUAGGGGGCGAGCGUUCUCCGGAAUUACUGGGCGUAAAGCGCACGCAGGCGGUCUGUCAAGUUCAGGGUGACAGUCACCAGCUUAACUGGUGAAAUACUUUGAAAACUGGCAGACUUGAGAGCGAGAGAGGAACCUGGAACUCCGGGUGGAGCGGUGAAAUGCGUAGAGAUCCGGAAGAACACCAAAGGCGAAGGCAGGGUUCUGGCUCGUUUCUGACGCUGUGGUGCGAAAGCCAGGGGAGCGAACGGGAUUAGAUACCCCGGUAGUCCUGGCCGUAAACGAUGACCACUAGACAUGGGAUGUUCGACCCUUUCCGUGCCGUAGCUAACGCGAUAAGUGGUCCGCCUGGGGAGUACGACCGCAAGGUUAAAACUCAAAGGAAUUGACGGGGACCCGCACAAGCAGC
rnacentral:rRNA from 1 species